rnacentral:rRNA from 1 species
GACGAACGCUGGCGGCGUGCUUAACACAUGCAAGUCGAACGGAAAGGCCCUGCUUGCAGGGUACUCGAGUGGCGAACGGGUGAGUAACACGUGGGUGAUCUGCCCUGCACUUCGGGAUAAGCCUGGGAAACUGGGUCUAAUACCGUAUAGGAACCAUUUUUAGUGUGAUGGUUGGAAAGUUUUUUCGGUGUAGGAUGAGCUCGCGGCCUAUCAGCUUGUUGGUGGGGUAAUGGCCUACCAAGGCGGCGACGGGUAGCCGGCCUGAGAGGGUGGACGGCCACAUUGGGACUGAGAUACGGCCCAGACUCCUACGGGAGGCAGCAGUGGGGAAUAUUGCACAAUGGGCGCAAGCCUGAUGCAGCGACGCCGCGUGGGGGAUGACGGCCUUCGGGUUGUAAACUCCUUUCGCUAGGGACGAAGCUUUUUGUGACGGUACCUAGAUAAGAAGCACCGGCUAACUACGUG